GUUUAAGGUAACCAGUUUGUAGAGUCAUGCCAUGCACGUAAUUUAAGCUGAUAUCUUUCAUUAACAUUGUUCAAUUGCAAAUGGAUACCGCUGGCACUCGCUAACUUUUAAGUUUAAAAUGUUCAACCAACCCGCAACCAGAAAAUAGAGGUGAAUUGAUCUGAAAAAGAAUGCCGUCCAGAAUGCAGCAUUCUCAAAAUAUGGUUGCUAAAAUAUGGACUUAUGAUCUACGGCAGUGAAUGUGAUGAAGAGUAGUGGAAAUAUUUUCUUCUCAAGAUGAACUACAUUCUGACGUCAUGAGAUAAUAAUACAACAGUUCUGUUCGCCCUCUCCGAUCCCUUUGGCCCGGCUAGGUUAUAAAUGGUAGUACAGUGUAUGGCGACACAUUCUGGCGGUAUUGGAAUACUCCAACAGUUCUUGCUGUCUCCCUCUUGGGUUUAUACAACCCCCGGAAGUACAGAGAAAAGAGCAUACACAGUGUGGAAUCUCGAAUCUCGAUAGCCUCUUAAGAGGACGUAAAAGCAACUCUGAUCUUGGAGGCUGGAAUUUCAACAAUUUCAGAUGUCGAAGGUAAUGGAUAGCAGCGUCUAGAAAUGCCCACUGUACAACUGAGAAGUGCUCCUUUGUUGCCCUCCUUCUCCAGACACUACAUGUCAAUAGUCCGAACAAAAAGUUUUAAUAUAAGUAACUGCUAAGGAGGGAUUGUCGUUGAGAAAGGCAUUUAAAAGACCAAUCCAGAGCUUUCUGCCUUCAAAAUGUUUUUUUCACAGCAGACCAUCAAGUUUUACAACAGAUAGAAACAGAAUCCUUAACAAACUGUGCCCAGCCCAAAACCUACCAAAUCAGACUGAUUAAAGCUGCUCAUAUCUGCUAUAGCAUCAAUUAAAAAUCAAUGUUAUAGCUGAAUACAGCGACGACUCCGAACUAAUCGAUGAAGAUGCGAUGCUGGUCGCUUCUUGUAUUAUUAUUAAAAAUAAUCUGAGACAGACAAUGUUAUUACUAUAAUAUUGUAGCAUAACGACGCUUUGCGUAUAGCUGCUUUCCCAUUUCUAAUUAUGCAUUUCAUCCUAUAGUACAACUUGUAAUAUGAUUAACUAAUCAAUAUUAACCUAACACUAGAGAAGCUUUUUGAUGAAAAUAGUAAACAACUUGUUUCAGUUCAAACUAAAUUAAAGGUCAGACCGGGAUUCGAACCCUCAGCUAGCACGGUCAAUCGCCCUCUUAGUGCUUAGCCAACUAGGCUAUGGUGCCGGCGGUCGAAAAUCAAUGUUAACUAUCAUAUUGUCGUGCUCGCGCAUUCCCUACGCAAAGUUAUUCUCCGACGAUGUAUAUUUUUAGCCAUUUUGGGGCUAUUGCGCGGCGCGGAAGUUUUAAACCGUCAUAACUCUGUCCAGGAACAGUCUCCAGAACUAAUUAAACUUGUGAUUUCCUAGUCAGAGGAUGUACUUUACGAAGAUAUAUGAUUUGUCAUACCUACGUCCACACAGUGGAAUCACAAAUGGGUAUAGUCGCGAACGCUAAGAAACCGCAGG